UACGAAGGGUGCAAGCGUUACUCGGAAUUACUGGGCGUAAAGCGUGCGUAGGUGGUUUGUUAAGUCUGUUGUGAAAGCCCCGGGCUCAACCUGGGAAUGGCAAUGGAUACUGGCAAGCUAGAGUGUGUCAGAGGAUGGUGGAAUUCCCGGUGUAGCGGUGAAAUGCGUAGAGAUUGGGAGGAACAUCAGUGGCGAAGGCGGCCAUCUGGGGACAACACUGACGCUGAGGCACGAAAGCGUGGGGAGCAAACAGG
rnacentral:rRNA from 1 species